rnacentral:lncRNA from 1 species
GCCACUACCGAUCUCUGCCCUCUUGGUGGUAGUGGUCCCCCGGGCCCAGCUGUCUUUUCUUUUAUCUCUUUGUCUUGUGUCUUUAUUUCUACAAUCUCUCAUCUCCGCACACGGGGAGAAAAACCCACCCACCCUGUGGGGCUGGUCCCUACAAGUUGCUACAGCAGCAAAAUGGGGAUAAUAGCACCUACUUUACAAGGAAUGAAGGAAUGCAAACAAUGAGAACAGUGCUAGCAGAGAAGCACUACCUGUGAAUCUGCUAUUACUCAAAGAAGAACUAUUCAAACCAUUGCUAGCAUCAGAUAUUAGGAUUUUAAGUAAAUGUUCACUAAUUUGGUAGUGGAAAUGAUGUUCUAAUGUGGCUCUUUGAUUACCAACAAGGGUUAAACAUUUAAUUAUCAGUGGUUUUGUCUUCUAGGAAUUCUUUUACUCACAUGGUUCUUUGAGGGCCUUAAUGUGUUUCUUACUGAUCUGUAAAACUUAUUAGCAUAGUGACCCUUUAUGUAUGUUAUAUUUGUUGUCAAUAUUUUCCUCAGUUUGCCUUUUGACUUUUUAGAAUAUAGAGUAGCUAAGCAAUAACUGUUGCUUGAAUCAGUGUUGUCUUACUGAGCCAUCCACAUUCUCAUCCCUUCUCAACAGGAAUGACCCCAAGUUUAUCAGAAGGCUCCUGUGGCUCCAGGGUCAACUCUGGGCAUAUCUGACUACAUCACUCCACCCCUACCAUGGUCUCUCCUCUGUACCCCAGCGUUCCAGGGUACUGUCUUCUGAGAGCGCACUUGUCUGCCAACCCCAGUAGCCAGGACUCAGCAUACCUGGCAAACACCUUCAAAACUAGCAAAUCAUGCUGGCUAUCUGCCCCAGGUAGGGCCUUAGCAACUGGCUUCAAGUUGAGAUAAAGUGACAGUGCUUUUCAGGGAUACAGUUUGAAGAUUUCCUGGGCUAUUGUUGCUUCUGGGGUGUUAGGAUUCUAAUAAUUACAACAGGACCCUGUGUAUGUGGUGGGGUUGGAGAGAGCAUCUCAGUACCUCUCCAAGUUCAUCCUCACUAUCUUGAACUGGGGUAUCUUACAUCUCUAUACCAGUGUUUUGCAACCCUGGCUGUACAAACACCAAUGCAGGGGUCUUACCCCUACAGAUUCUGAUUAAUUCAUCUGGUUUGGGGCCUGGGCAUUGGUAUUUGUAAAGUUCUCCAGGUGAUUCUCGUGUGUAGCCAGGGUUGAGAACCACUUUAAGGCCUUUCUGCCUCAGUCAGGGAGGCAAGAGGCUGCAGGUGAUUUUGAGGGAGAAGGGUCAAUAGAGUAAGGGAGGAAGAAACAGGAAACUAGCAGAGUCCCCGGGGGGAGAGAAUGUGUUAUCCUAAAGACCCUUGGUCACAGCCAUGCAGCUGGGCAAACAGAUAACGCCUGGUGGAACAACAGAAGCUGGACCAUGAGAAGGGCAGACAGCAGAAAAUGCCCAGAGAAGGGUUCAAUUUCUUCUUUGGAAGGUGAUGGUAAGGGUGUGGCUCCAGAUUAACUGGUUCUACAGCUCCAGGCAAGGGAGAUGGAAGGCUGAGGGGAGCAGGUCCAUCAGGGAGCAGUUGGGGGAGAACCUAGAGAGGCACUGUCUGUACACUCCAGGGCCAGUGCCCAAGGCCAGAUGCUCCUCAUCUAUUCUCUAAACCACCCCAGGAUCCUCUUGAAGCUUAAGCUAGUUUAGAUUGAGCUUCUGUCACUUUCAACUGAAGCUUGACUAGUAAAAACUCCUGAGGUUAAAGCCUCUAUUGGGUAAAAGAAUUAGAACCAGUGGGAUAGUCCCAGAAAAGAGCUGUGUGGGCUAGGGGCACUGUGAAGACCCAGGGGACAUUGGAACCUGGCCCUGUGCUGUCUUCCAGGAGGAGUGGUACACCCCAGAGAAAUGGCCAGGUACGUGAAACUAAAGAAUCAUGCUUGGAGUGCUGAGAUCCAUUUGUCUGAGCAGGAACACACCCUAAGAUGGGCCUAGGCUGUGGAAGCUGACACUUUCACUGUGGCCAGGCAGCGUGCUCGCUCAUGAAUGGGAGCAGGGUGGGGGAACUUGGCUGUGAGAAUUGGGAGUCCUCCAGUGGUGAGUCUGGGUUCUGGCUGUGGUGGUAAUGGGGUAGGAAACAGGACUUUCAGAACAGCACCCUGGAGUAUCCAUUUGGAAGGAAGUGGAUAAUGCUUUUGGGGGAGAAAGAAAAAUUUGAAAGACAGGUUCUAAUGGGUGGGAGAGGGAAUGUCUGCCUCUUGGGACCAGAUUUGGAGGAAGGCAGGUGUCUGGGUGCCCACUAUAUUGUAGGGGUGGGGAGCUCUGCUCAGGACAGGAACCCUAAAGAACAAGUCAUACCCCUUAAAUCAGAUUUACAUUGAGGGAAAAAAGGAGUUCACUACGAGAGCCUAUCCAAGUCCCUAAACAAACAAGCAAACAACAAAAACAAGCCCGAGAGGGGGGAAGGGAUAUCAGAAUUCAGAGUUACUACAAUAUAUUUCCUAAAAAGUUUAAUUUUCAACAAAAAACCAUGAGAUAUACAAAUAAACAUGACCCAUACAUAGGGGGAAAAAAGCAGACAACAGAAACUGCCUAUGAAAGAGGCCAGAUAUCAGAUUUAACAGACCAAGACUUCAAACCAGCCAUUAAAGCUAUGUUUAAAGAACUAAAGGAAACUAUGAUUUAAAAAAGUAGAAGAAGGUAUGGUGACAAUUUCUCAACAAAUAGAGACUAUCGAUAAGGUAAACCAUUAAAAAAUAAUCCAAUGAAUUCUGGAAUUGCAGAGUAUAAUAAUUGAAACAAAAAAUUCACUAGAGAGGAACAAUAGUGGAUUUGAACUUGCAGAAGAAACGAUCAGCAAACUUGAAGAUAGGCAGUAGAGAUUAUGCAAUCCAAAGAACAAAGAGAAAAAAGAAUGAAGGAAAACAGAGCCUCAAAAAAAGUCGGGGGGCACCAUUAGGCACACCAACAUACUCAUAAUGGGAAUUCCAGAAGGAGAGAUGAGAGAAAAGAGCAGAGAAAGUAAUUGAAGAAGCAAUGGCUGAAAAUUAGCCAAGUUUGAUGAAAAAGAUUAAUCUACACAUUUAAGAAAGCUCAGCAAACUCCAAGUAAGUUAAACACAAAUAUAUCCACACCUAAGCUCAUCAUACUAAAAAUGCUGAGAGACAAAGUUUUCAAAGCAGCAAGAGAAAAAGAACAAAUCACAUUCAAGGGAACCUCAAUAAGAUCAAUAGCUGAAUUCUCAUCAGAAACAAUGGAGGCCAAAAGGUAAUGGGUAACAUAUUCAAAAUGCUGAACAAAAAACAACUCUCAAGAAUUUUAUAUCCAGAAAAGCUAUCUUUGAAAAUAAAGGCAAAAUAAAGACAUUGCCUGACAAACAAAAACUCAGAAAAUUUGUUGCUAGCAUCCCUGCCUUACAAGAAUUACUAAUGGAAGUUCUUCAGACUAGAAGUAAGUGACCCCACACCAUAAUCUGAAUCUUCACAAAAUAAAAACAAAACAAAUCCAAAGAGCACUGGUAAAGAUGACUAUGUAAUUACAAAAACAAUAUAAAUGCAUAUUUCUUCUCCUUCUCUUAACUGACUUAAAAAUAAAUUGUAUAAAACAACAUAUAUGAUUGUAUUGUUGGGCCUAUAAUGUAUAGAAGUGUAAUCUAUUUGACAAUAACAACAAAAAUGAGGUGGGUGGGAGCAAAUCUGUAUUGGAAUAAAGACAUAACAGCAGAUGGUAACUCAUACCCGUGAGAACAAAUAACAAGAACCAGAAAUAGUAUAGAAGAUUAAUAUAAUAUACUCUAUAAAUAUAUAUUUACUAUCCUUCUCAGCUUCUUUAAAUGAUAUAAAACUAUACAAGGCAAUAUUAUAACAAUGUAUUAUUUGCAUAUUAUAUAUGCGCUAUGUAUAACAAUAGUACAAAAAGUUAGAAAAGGGAAUUGAGUAAUAGAAGAAUAAUGUUUCAGUAUCUCACUGGAAUUAAGUUAGUAUAAAUCUGAAAUAGAUUCUGAUAAGCUAAAAUGAAUAGAGUAAGCUCUAGAGUAACCACUAAGAAAACAACUGAAAAAAAUAGAAUGGAAAAUGAUUGAAGGAAUUAAAAUGUUACAUAAUAAAAUAUUCACUUAAUGCAAAAGAAAGAUUAAAGGAGAAACAGAGGAAUGAAAAAGACAUGACAUAUACAGAAAAUGAAAAGUGAUGAAGUCAGAAAUAAAUAAAACAAAAAGAAAAGAAAAGUAAAAUGACAGAUGUAUAUACUACCAUAUCAGUAAUAACACUCAGUCAGACUGGAUAAAAGUCAAUAUUCAACUAUAUGCUGUCUAUGGGAGACAUUUUAUUUUUUAUUUAUUUAUAUUUUUUGUAGUGAUAGGGUCUUACUAUGUUGCCCAGGCUGAUCUCAAACUACUAGCUUCAAGUGAUUCUCCCACCUUGGCCUCCAAAAGUGUUGAGAUUACAGGCAUGAGCCACUGCACCCAGCCCAGAAGACACUUUAGAUUCAAAGACACAGGUAGGUUGAAAAGGAAAUAGAUAUAUUAUGCAAACAGUAAACAUAAGAAAGAUGAAGUGGCUACACUAAUGUCAGACAAAAUAGACUUGAACAUCAAAACAAAAUAAAACCCACAAUCAAAGUAUGUUACUAGAGAUAAAGGAGGACAUUUUAUAAUGAAAACAGGGUCAAUCCAUCAGAAAGAUAUAACAAUUAUAAACAUAUAAGCACCUAACACCAGAGUCCAAAAAUAUAGGAAGUAAAAACUGACAGAAUUGAAAGAAAAAAUAGACAAUUCAACAAUAAUAAUUGAAGACGUCAAUAUCCCACUUUCAGUAAUGGAUAGAAUAAGUACCCAGAAGUACAACAAGGAAGUAGAAGUCUUGAACAAUACUAUCAACCAACUAAACCUGAAAGACAUCUGUUGUACUCUUCAUCCAACAACAGCAGAGUAUACAUUCCUCUCAAGUGCGCGUGAAACAUUCUGUAGAAUAGACAAUAUGCUGGACCAUAAAACAAGACCCGAUAAGUUUAAAAUAAUUGAAACGUUCUCUGACCACAUGGGAAUGAAAUUAGAAAUGAGUAAGAAAUUAACUUGAGAAAUUCACGAAUCCGUGGAAAUUAAACAAUUCACUCCUAAAUAACAAAUAGGUCAAAGAAGAAGCCACAAGGAAAAUUAGAGACUGCUUUGAGAUUGAUGAAAAUAACAGGGAAAAUUAACUAAACUCAAAGUCGGUUUUUAUUUUUUAUUUAUUUAUUUUUUUGAGACAGGAUCUCACUCUGUCACCCAGGCUGGAGUAUAAUGGCACAAUCUUGGCUCACUGCAGCCUCAACCUCCCAGGCUCAAGUGAUCCUCCCACCUCAGCCUCCUCAGUAGCUAGGACUACAGGAACAUACCACCAUGCCCAGCUAAUUUUGUUUAAUUUUUUGUAGAAAUAAGGUCUCACUAUGUUGCCCAGGCUGGUCUCGAACUCCUGGGCUCAAGUGAUCCUUCCACCUCGUCCUCCCAAAGUGAUGGGAUUACAGACAUGAGCCACCAUGCCUGGCCUCAAAGUUGGUUUUUAAAAAAGGUCAACAAAUUUGGCAAACUUGAAGAAAUAAGACCUAGUGUUUGAUAGAUCAGUAGGGUGACUAUGGUUUACAACAAUCUAUUGUACAUUUCAAAAUAUCCAGGAGAGGAUAAUUUGAGUGUUUCUAGCAUAAAGACAAGACAAAUAUUUAAGGUGAUGAAUGUCCCAAGUGCGCUGAUUUGAUCUUUAAAAAUUAUGUGAAUCUAUUAAAUUAUCACAUGUACUCUGGAAUUAUCUACAUCUAUUAUGCAUCAGUAAAAUAAUUAUUUUUUAAAAAUUGGCAAACCUUUAGCUAGACUGACCAAAAAAAAGAGAGAAGACUAAAUUUAUUAAAAUAAGAGAUGAAGGGGGACAUUACUAUGUACUUUACAGAAAUAAAAAGGAGUACAAGGGUAUAUUAUGAACAAUUACUUGCCAACAAUUUAGAUAACUUAGAUAACAAGGGAAAAAAAUCCCAUAAUAACACAGCCUACCAAAAUGGACUCAGGAAGAAAUGGAAAAUCUGAAUAGACAUAUAAUAAUUAAAGAUAAUCAGUUAGUAGUAGUAGUAGUUAGUAGUAAAAACUGCCGACAGAGAAAAGUCCAAGUCCAGAUGUUUGGUGAAUUUUACCAAACAUUUAAAGAAGAAUUAAUACAAAUUAUUCACAAAGUCUUCCCAAAAUAUAAACGAAAAAUGAACAAUUUCAACUCAUUCUAUUAGGCUAGUAUUACCCUGCUACUAAAAUCAGACAAAGACAUCACAAGAAAAAAAAAUUACAGACCAAUAUCUCUUGUGUAUAUAGAUGCAAAAAUCCUCCAUAAAACACUAGCAAAUAAUAUCCAAUAACAUAUUAAGAAAGAUUGUGCACCAUGACAAAGGGAACUUAUCCCAAGAAUAUAGGUUUGGUUUGAUAUCUGAAAAUCAAUAUAAUGCACUAUAUCAAUGGAAUAAAGGAUAAAAAACCACGAUCAUCUCAGUAGCCAAAAAAAGAUCAUUUGACAAAAUUCUACACCUCUUAUUAUAAAGCACUCAACAAACUUGGAAUAGAUUGAACUUCCUCAACUUGAUAAAGGAAAUCUAUGAAAAACCCACAGCUAACAUCACGCUUAAUGGUGAACAGCUGAAUGACUUCCCUUUAAGAUCAGGAACAAGACAAUGGUGUCCACUCUUGCCACCUCUAUUUAACACUGUGCUAGAGGUUCUAGCCAGGGAAAUUAGGUAAGGAAAUGAAAUGAAAGGCAUCCAGAUUCAAAAGGAAUAAGUAAUACUAUCUCUAUAGAUUACAUGAUCUUGUAUACUGAAAACCCUAAGGAAUUCAUUUAAAAACGAUUCAAAGUAAUAAAUUAGUCAGCAAGAUUACAGAAUACAAGAUCAAUAUCAAAAAUCAUUUGUAUUUCUAUACACUAGCAAUGAGCAAUCUGAAAAUGGAAUUAUGAAAACAAUCCCAUUUACAAUGGCAUCAAAAAGCAUAACAUACUUAGAAAUAAAUUUAAGAGAAGAACAAAACUUAUUCCCUGAAAAUUACAAAACUUAGUUGAAAGAAAUUAAAGAAGACUGGAAUAAAUAGAAAGAUACUCCCUGUCCAUGGAUAUGGAUCAGAAGAUUUAAUAUUGCUAAGAUGGCAAUACUCCCCGAAUCAAUCUACAGAUUUAAUGCAGUCCUCCUCAUAAUUCAGGUUGGCUUCCUUUUAGAAACUGACAGGUUGAUCCUAAAAUUCAUGUGGAAAUUCAAGGGAUCCAGAACAGCCAAAACCAUCUUGGAAAAGUGGAAGCACAUCCACUUCCCAAUCAAAACUUAUUACAAAUCUACAGUAACUAAGAAAGUGUAGUAAUAGCAUAAUAAUGGACAUAUAGAUCAAUGGAAUAAAUUUGGAGUCCAGAAAUCACCUGUCACAUUAAUGGUCAACUGAUUUUUGCUAAGACAAUUCAAUGGGAGAAAGAAUAGUCUCUCCAAAACAUGGGACACUGGAACAUCCAUAUGCAAAAGAAUGAAAUUGGAACCCUGGCUCACAUAAUAUAAAAUAUUACAAUGGAUGAAAGACUUAAAUAUAACAGUUAAAACCGUAAAACUCGGCCGGGCGCGGUGGCUCACGCCUGUAAUCCCAGCACUUUGGGAGGCCGAGGCGGGCGGAUCACGAGGUCAGGUGAUGCAGACCAUCCUGGCUAACACAGUGAAACCCCGUCUCUACUAAAAAUACAAAAAAUCAGCCGGGCGUGGUGGCAGGCGCCUGCAGUCCCAGCUACUCGGGAGGCUGAGUCAGGAGAAUGGUGUGAACCUGGGAGGCGGAGCUUGCAGUGAGCCGAGAUGGCACCACUGCACUCCAGCCUGGGCGACAGAGCAAGACUUCGUCUCGAAACAAAACAAAACAAAACAAAACAAAACUGUAAAACUCGGCUGGGCGUGGUGGCUCACACCUGUAAUCCAGCACUUUGGGAGGCCAAGGAGGGCGGAUCACUUGAGGGCAGGAGUUUGAGACCAGCCUGGGCAACAUGGCAAAACCCCGUGUCUACUAAAAGUGCAAAAAUUAGCCCGGUGUGGUGGUGCGUGCCUGUAGUCCCAGCUACUCAGGUAGCUGAGACAGGAGAAUCACUUGAACCCGGGAGGCAGAGGUUGCAGUGAGCCGAGAUCGUGCCACUGCACUCCAGCCUGGGUGACAGAGUGAGACUCCAUCUCAAAACAAAAACAAAAAACUCUAAAACUCUUAGAAAAAAACAUAAGCAUAAAUCAUUGUGACCUUGGAUUAGGCAAUAGGUUCUUAGAUAUGACACCAUAAGAAAAAAUAAACAAGACAUCAUCAAAAUUAAAUUUUUUUUGCUUUAAAGGACAUCAUCAAGAAAGUGAACAGACAACACACACACAGAAUGAGAGAAAAUAUUUGCAAAUCAUUGGUAAAGGACUGGAAUUGGUAUGUCAAAUAUGUGAACAAGUCUUACAACUCAAUAAUAGAAUGACAACCCAACUUUAAAAUGGGCAAAGGAUGUGAAUAGAUAUUUCUCCAAAGAAGAUAUACAAAUGAUCAAUAAACAUGGGAAAAGACAGCCAACAUCAUUCAUUGUUAGGAAAAUGAAAAUCAAAACCACAAUGAGAUACCACUUUGUACCCACUAAUAUGGCUAUAAUAAAAAGGACAGAUAAUAAGCGUUGCUGAGGAUGUGGAGAAAUUGGAAACCUCAUCCACUGCUUGGGGAAAUGGAAAAUGGUGCACCCACUUUGGAAAGCAGCUGGCUGUUCUUCAAAACAUUAAACUGAGUUACCAUCCAACCCAGCAAUUCCACUGCUAGUUAUCUACCUGAGAGAAAUGAAAACAUGUCCUCAUAACAACUUUCACAGGAAUGUUCAUAGUAGCAUUAUGCAUAAUAGCAAAGAAGUGGAAACAACUCAUAUGUCCAUAAACUGCUGGAUAAACAAAAGGUGGUAUAUCCAUUCUGUGAAAUAUUAUUUGGUAAUAAAAAGAAAUGAAGUACUGAUGCAUGCAUGGAUGAACCUUGAAAAUAUUUUGCUAAGAAGCCAGUCACAAAAGACCACAUAUUGUAUGUUUCCAUUUAUAUGAAAUAAAACAGACACAUCCAUGGACAGAAAGUAGGUUAGUAGUUGCCUAGGGCUGAGGAGUGAAUGGAUUGUGGGGAGGUGUUGAGAGGUGAAAGCUAAGGGUGUAGGGUUUCUUUUCGUGGUAAUGACAGUGUUCUAAAAUUGAUUGUGGCCAUGGAUGCACAACUCUGUGACUAUACCAAAAACUUAACUCUUACAAUUAUAAAUAAAUUGUAUGGUAUGGGAAUUAUAUUUCAAUGAAAUUGUUAUUAAAAACAACUCUUUGCCCAGCGGACACCCAAACCUUUCCCCAGCGGACACCCAAACCUUUCCCCAAGAUGGCUGUAAAUUAUCUUGGGGUGGGAAUGGGGAGGUCCUCCUUUGGUCCUAGCUCUUGAUCCAAUAAUUCUGACGUCAUCUACAACACGUUUACCUAGAAAUGAAACUCAGCUCUUUGCUGAAGUUCUAUCCUCCCAAACCACCCUUCUUUCCCUUCCUAGGAAGCAUUCAUGAUUUCACUGUAGAUGGGGCAGGG